rnacentral:tRNA from 1 species
GGUGAAGUGGCUGAAAAUAGGCAAUAAACUGUAAAUUUAUUUAUGAAUUUUAUUUCCUUCACCA